CCAGGAGUGCAAACAUGAAGCGUGCAUUGGUGUGUGUGCUGAUGGCUGCCUGGAGCCUCGGAUGUGGCAGCCAGACGGUGCACCAGCCAGCAGAGAAUGUGUACGCCAUGAAAGGCGACUCAGUGACGCUGGACUGCAGCUAUGAAAAUUCUGGAGGCAACGACAACAUCUUCUGGUACAAACAGGGCGGGAAGGCGGCACCAAAGUUCAUCCUGAGCCUCUCAAUUUUUGGUCAGGGCAAGACUGAGAGCAGCUUUGAAAAGAGGUUGAGCUGCAGCAUCAAUGACACCGCCAAGCGAGCUCCUCUGAAGAUCCAAGACGUGCAGCUGAACGACUCUGCUGUCUUCUACUGCGCCAUCCAGCCCACAAUGACUGACAUCUCUGCUGCACCCGCACAAAAAGCUCUGUAGGCUCCUCAUU